CUCUGUGGUGCUCAGUUGGAGCCCGCUCUGUCCACCCAGGGUUUGCUCUUGCCUAGACCACUGGUGGUAUCAUUUGCCCCUCAGCCUCCUGGUUUUCUGUCUAAACCUGAGGCGGGCCUGCCACAGGACUCAGGAGCCGGUGACAGAGGCCGAGCCUGUGUGGGAUUAAGGUCAACCUAGCAGGAACAGGUGGCCUGAGUUCAUAAAACCCCACAAACAGGUCCUCCCUCUCAAGGAGGGGACUCUCUCACGUUCCGUUUUACCCAACAUCCAAGUAAGGAGUCAAGGUACUUUUGUUGCCCUCUGGUUUGGGCCCCCACCUCUAGGACAGUUCUAACAGACUGUAACUGCCACCCCACCCCAGAAUCCAGACUGUCUGCCUGCGUGUCCACCAGAGUGUCUCCCAAGGGUUUGGCCAAUCAUCAAUUGCCAAGCUCCCAAGUCCUUAACAUAGAUGGUUGACAGUGCCCACUGUCGAGAAUUCUCAGAGAACCACUCCUAUCUCGUCUGAUAUUCUGUUGAGAGGGCUCUUUUGUUCCUCUAGAGUGAAAAAAGCCAAGCGCUAUUGGUCAAGCGCACCUGGUGCUUGGUCCAGGGGAAGCCUCCCUUCUGGACUCACUAACUGGUGACAGAGGCUGUCUGUGCAUGUGUGGGGUGAGGUCAGCCUAGCAGGGAACGGCCCAGCUCAGCCCCUUUGAGGAAGUCGAGUCUGCCACAAAGGGUCUGAGCAGCUUUCCUUGUGUUAUACCCCCCUCGCGCAUCAGCUGCUGUGACCAGUCUACAUUAGAGCCUCGCAACCUCGCAUGAGGGACAGCGACGACUCUGAUGGUCUCUAUGUCAUCACAUUGUCCAAGGUCCCUGCUGGCCUACAGAGGCUCUAAUUCUGGGGUUUCGUUGGAAUCAAGUUUUCUGCCACAGCCAAUGAAACAAGCUCAAAUGAAGACUACCAAACUGUCCUGGGACAAUGGAGUCAGGGCAGGGGUAUGGACAGUUCCAGACACAACCCCCUUCCCCUCCCAGCUGCCCUCAAAGUCCCAGCAAAGAGGCAUGGCCAUCGGUUCCCCCCACAAAAUCCAGGGGCCCCUACCUCAAAAGCAGGCCCCCUUUUGAUUCAGUCUCUUGGGGCCAAGAAGGCAGGCCUCCAUGGUUCUUCUAGAACACUAGUCCUUUUGUUUAGGCUGAUCAGGUAAGAAUAAUAAGACUCUGUAUACAUAGUAUAAUUUUGGGGCAGCAGGAAGGUACAGUGCCUACCUAGAAGUCCCUCGUGGUUCGUGAGGAAGUGAACCCCUUUGACUCUAGAAAGAAUUGAUUCUUCUAAAAGGAUGAGCAAAGGGGGACCCUGCCCUGGCUGCGUACCCCAGAGGUCAAAAUUCAGAUGGCCCCAGCUUCUUGGAUGCAGGCCACUUUGCCCCUCAGCUCCACAGCUGCCCCUGGUGGCCCACUGCUGUUGUGAAUCUUAACACCUGUGCCUGUCCUGUUGGCCUCCAAGGUCCAGUAUGUAAGUCACAAGUGCGACGAUUGUUUUGUUCAGAAUUGGGGUGGGAGAGGGGGGAGAGGUGAACUGCCCUGGCGAGUCUGCCCCUCAAGGUCAAGAAAUGGGUGAGCAUUAGGAGAAAGGAAGGCCUUGGCAGUCUUGCACAGAUUCACAUUUCUCACCUGAGCAAAGCCUUAAAAAUGCAGCCCCUUAGGGUCAUCCUUGGCCUGAGGCCUGGUAAACCCCUCUCAGAACACCCAAGAAAUGAAGGAGCCCGCCAAGUGGCUGAUCCGAGACUCUCUCUCCCCCCUUGGCUCUUUCUUCCCUAGAAGGGGACAUUGGGGAGAUUGUCACAGUGUCUUAUUACACUCUGGGUCCUAGGCAGAGAGAAUGCAGGAAUGAAAGGUCCCCCUUCCCAGAUGAAAAACUCAGAGUCCCAAAGGUUCUCCUCUCAUCUGUGAAAGACAUUUCUGAGCAUCUUGACAAUCAGAAAAAGCCCCAAAUCUUCCCCCUACUUCACUGACAAACCCAUCACAUGAGUCAAGAAAUAUCCCCUAAAUAUAGUGGGUAGCUACCCCACUGAGGAUCCUCCACUCUAUUAUCCAAAGGUUCUCCAGUCCUACUUAAGAGCCUGUGUGUUGCUGGCUGAUCAGAGUCCCUUGAUUUUUUUUCCCCCCUGUCUCCCUGUCUCCAACCAGACCUGAGUGGCCAAGGAAGUCACUAACUUCUGCUAGCUAAGAGCUGAUUGACCUCAGUCUGAGUAUUCCGUAUUCUCUCUCGGGUACCUUGUCCCCCCCUCAUGCCAGCAUUUCUUCAAGAGGCUCACAUGUGUGCCCGGAUAAGAAGCUCAUGCCCAGAGGUGCGCCAUCCACAGAGUAUCUCACAGUAUUAAUCCCUUUGGGCCAAGGGAGCGAAUGCUUGUCCCAGACCCAGACCAUACAUCCCUGGGUGAGGGGCCUCCACCCUGACAUACUCCAUCUAUCAUGAUGUCCCUGCAAUGUCUAUCCUGCUCUUAGUUUCGAUGUCUGCAAGCCUUGUCUUUCCUGGAUCUUGCUUUGCGACUGGCCCCCAGUACGAACAGAGGCUCCGGAGAGCGGCAGGUUUGAGGAAAAGGCAUUUUCAAUCUCUCUGGUACCACGCGUGAAGCGGCCUACAGUUAAGUGUCCUCUGAUCCCCACUUUCUCCUGCACCCGUGAACGGUCUCUACUGGGGACCAGCGCCAGGUUCCUCUACUACGGGCGGAAACCUUAAACGGCCGUGUGAAGGGACGCAGGGGAGAGCGCGGAGACAGAUCCCCACUGCACAGAAAUGUGAAAGCACCCCAGCCUUCAACAACCUGUCUUUGACCCGAGACAAACGCCAAGAAAAACCAGUUGUGGGUGUGGCCACAUUUAUCCCCGCCCCUCAGAACCACCAACCGCUGCACACCGUGGGACUGGAGGUGUGGUCAAACCUGCUGUGCCACGCCCCUCGGUGCCUCCCUGCUCGGGGAGUAUGGUCAAGCCGCCCACACCAAGCCUGCGGCUGCCAGUGGACUCCGCAGAGAUCUGGGGUAGGGGGUUGGGAAGUGUCAAUCAGCCUCGAUCCAGCUCUAGCCACGCCCAUAACUGUCUCCAACCGUCGUAGGCUAGAGAUCCUGGGGGUGGGGCCAAACAAGCCCAGCGCCUUGCCCUUUUUCACACAGCUCCACCAACCUUGGGGUCACUCUGCUUUGAGGUCCCAAGGAGUGUAAACGUGCAGACCUCCGCUACCCCGGACUCCCGGGCUAAAGGAAAGGAUCGAAGGAGAGAGUUUCCAGAGACAUCUCUGAUUUCAAAUAUCCUGUCCCGUUGUCAGACAGAGCAGCCCCUCUGAACUUUGGAGAAUUGAAUACCCUUAAUGCACUUUGAGAGGGCCUGGAUUAAACUGCCCGGAAAUUAUUGAGGGCUUUCGGCUCCGGUGGAAGUCUCAGCUAGAUCGGAUGCCUUGACACACCGGAUUGUCCUCGAGGCCAAAACCCUCUUUAUUUAGAGGUUACCUUCUAAAGUCUUGAACUGGAAUCGACUAUUGCCUGUUCUAUGGCAUUGAGUGAGGAGAGAGAUGGGAAUAGGGUGGUUCCAGGAGCUGCUGUCAUUUCAACCAAUUAGACUGAAAGCCCUGGCCAGAAGUUUUUUGAGUACUUUUUAAGGCUCUAUUUCCAUCUACCUUGAGGUCAGAAGACCUUGCCCCCUCCACCAGCAGCCUCUGGACACAAGAGAUGGAUGGCCUGCCAGACUUCUAAUGUUCCUGGUCUGCAGCGUCCUCUCCUACACUGGAUCAUCUGUCCUCUUUUAGGAUCUGCCUCUCUCCUGUCCACUCUGCCCUUCCCACAAGCUCCCAGAGUCUGGUAGGAGGGAGUGGCGACAGGAGAGGAGGCAAACUAACCAAGAGUGCUCUCAUAGAACUCGCUGGAAGUGAUUUCCAUCUGUCACCCAUCUCUGCCUCCCCUUCCCCAUCCCCCAAAGCGUCCCUUUUAAAUAAGAUGUUUUAAGAACAUGAGGCAAAUGGAUCGGGUUUGGAGGCAGAGGGAGAUUUGGCUGCGAAGUGACCGUAUCAGAUAAGAGUCCAUCACUGAAAGUUUUGGGUCGUAUUUGUGUUAGGAGUCAAAGCUUGGUCCCUUGCCAUCCUCAUAAACAACGCUAGGUUCAUCCACCCGUCUUCAAUGGGUCAAAUAAAUCACAACCACAAUGGCCAAAAAAAAAAAAAAAAAGGCAGAAAAUGAAGAUUUAUUCAAUGUGGCCACACUGGGAAGAGGAACCGGAGAUCUUGUGACCUUCAUGUCCCAUCUUCCAGGCCAUGACAUGAGGUUUGGGUUUAAAUAGAGGGCAAGAAGUGUACCUAGCUAAGCAGUCUUUGUCAGGGUGCACUGUCCCGAUAACCCAGGAAUACAGCAGGUCUUGCAGCUUGCUGGUUAGCCUAGCCUCCUGCAAAGAGACAGGCAAGCUUGUGUUUUGGUCAUCUUGCCUCUCUGGUCCUGAAAAGGACCAAACUCCCAACAAUUUUUUCCAGAAGGAAAAUGAGAAGCUAGGAGAGGCCAGACCCAUGAGGGUCAAGAGUAUUAAGAUACUUUGUGUUGUCCUUAUUAUUUUGGUUAAGUUCUUGGCCUCUCCAUAGUCCAAACCCUGAGACAUCAUGGAAGUGGGAAGCAGAAAGACACACAGACUGUAACUGGUUUUAGAGAAGCCCAGAUGGAUAGCUGGUCUUUGCUCUUUUGUGGGUUCUUCUUUUUCCCACCCUUUAUUGCCCUCCCCCACUGGUUUUGCCCUCCCAACACUAGGUAAGAGAGAGGGGAAAGAGAGAGGAGAGAGGUGGAAAGAAAUUGCACAUCUGAUUUCUUUUGUUUCUGCUUUGACCUCGGCUACUAACAAACCACAACCAACCUCCCUCUACAACGAACAACCACCUCUCAGGGCGGGGCGGAGGGGGAGGGGGAGCCCUCUGAAAAGUCCCCAGGAUUCCAAAGGUCACACCACCGCAGAAACUAUCUGCAAUUGGCGAAACCAUGCGUCUGCUGAGAGCACGAGGCAAAUCAUGGCCAGCUGCUUUGGACAGACGGAAGCAGCCCAUCCCCCACUCCCACCCCCACCCGACACAGAAGCACAUUCUCAUAAUAUUUCUGUGUUUUUUAAGGAAACCAAAAUCCUAGAGUUCUCGAAGGGAAAAAAAAAUCGUCACUACACAGAUCCCCUCCAAAAAGUGGGUGAGGUAGGGUCGUGUCCCCUUAUUCGGGCAUUCAGAACGGUCCUACAGUAGUAGGCAGAGGGGCCUGGGUGGCUGCUGUAAAGGGGCGGGUGGGGGUGGGGGGAUUGACCAAGAGCUCGAUGGAGCACACGGCUAGUCCCACAUCUUAAACCCCUUACGUGAAUUUGGAGACAGAAUGAUUUCCCCAGCCAGCCCGCACAUGACCCGGGAACUGCACUGGCCUUUUCCUCAGAGAGUGUUCAGGGACACACCACCAGACAGCUUGCAUCUAGGAGCCACAGCCUUGCGGCUCUCAGUUUGUCUUUCAGGCCAAACUAGAGGAACUCUCCAGAACCUCUGAAUAUAAGGGUCUCGUGCCCCUGGAAUCGUCCAUAAUUGCUAGGGAAUGGGACUUUGCUGGCUUAGUAAACUAUCGAAAUAUAUUCCAGAUUAACCUUGCCUCACAAGGGGUGUACGUCAGAGAGAGAGAGAGAGAGAGAGAGAGAGAGAGAGAGAGAGAGAGAGAGAGAGAGAUUGAUUUGGCCAUGGGUGGUGGAGUGCUGUACAAGCAAUGGGCAAGUUUUCUCAUUUGUUUGAUUUUUAACAGGUUAUUCUCAGCCAAAACCUAGACCAGCUAAAUCCAGGCUGGUUGCUAAAAGCCGGGGAAACCCAGAAAGCUGAAGUGGAGUUUUGCUAGAAGCUUCGGCUAGGGAUGGAAGAAGGAGGCUUUGAGGGUGAGGAGAGUCUGGCCAGCUCCUGCCAGAGCUGCACUGCCUAGCUGUCUCUGGAGGUGGACCUCCAUGCAAACGGCGUCAAUAUAUCAAGCACAUAUGGGGUCUCCUACAGCCCCCAGUCACACCUGGAGCCCCCUCCCCACUCCCUGAGCUGACUUCACAUUGAAAUUGCUUUCCUUGAGAUGGCCUUGCUCCAGGAUGGCCACUAAGGCAUUGCUAACGAAUUUACGAAACUUAAGGGAGAAAAUUCCUGUCUGGGGUAGGGUAGAGAGGGAGGUGUGGGGGGAGGGACCUGUACUGGAAUCUUGAUAAAUUGUAAAAUGUCUCCUUACAUCAUCCCCCCAGCCCAUAGUUGCCUGCCCCUUCAGUCCUCUGUGACCUCUGGCACAAAAGCCACCUCAGUGGUCCCGCUGAACUGAGCUCGCCAAGGUAGUGAUGGCCCACACACUCCAGAGCACCCAGUGAAGGGCUUGGCACCAGGCCCAGCGCACACCUUGGAAACUCUUUGUUUUUAGGUUUGUUUUUUUUUUUCUCUAAAUAUAAAACCCUGAGAGUUGUAUGUAAACCUGUUUAUUGGCGAGACUGAGUGUAGAUUCUACUGUUCUCUGUAGUUGGGGGUGUUCUCUGAGGCACUGCGAAUCGAGGAACCCUCCUCCCGCCGCCCAUGUGUCUUUGCCCCCUCUUCCUUACCUGAAUCUGAGUGGCUGGCUGUCUUGGACACUCUUGAGGCAGUCGGAUGCGUGGAAGGCAGAGCGUGUCGAGCCCAGCCCUGUUCCAGAGAUGAGCUGGCAGUCCCAGAGAUGGACAACCCUUCCUCCAGCCUCCACCUUGCUCUCUCUCCUCUCACCCAGUACCCACACUUCCGGCCACUCGUCCGUCCUGCACAUCUCUCAAGAUGGUCUGCGUAGACAGGCCGCUCCCGCCUUCUGUUUGGCAUGGGGAAUGCAGACCGCUCCUGUCUAGCUCCACUCAGCCCCCAGGGGCCCUGCCACCCACCCUGGCCCCUCCCGCUCAUCACCUGCUUGGUGUGUAGGGCUCUCUCCUUUAGGCUGCUCCUGGGAGUAACUGACAGUGAGGCCGGGGGCUGUCCUGGGUGGACGACAGGAGAGGCAGCAUUGCUUUUGCGUCAAUUGGGGUACAGGGAGACAUCAGAUGCUGUCACCCAGCCCUGGCGCACUCCUCAGAUCUUCCCUAAGCUGUCACCGCCCGCCCUCACCCUCUGGAAAGGCCAAUGCCUUAAGAACCAGAAGACUGCGCUUGACCGUUGGUAGUUACUGGCUAUGGUACUCAUCACUUGGCAGAAGACAAGCUGAGGUGGUACAUGGUGUGGCCAGGAUCAUCCCCGUCUCUACGAAUGAGGAGACUGGCAGCCAGUUAGUGGAAGGGAUUUGCAGAGGGGUCUUGACCAGUGGUGGCCAAACCAGAAGUAGAAUAGACCCCUAGGCAGGCACCAGCACCUCACAGGUGGUUGACCAUGAAACCUAGCUAGCAGUCUCUCUCCUGGCUCCCCCUCCCAUUCUGGUAGCUGAAGCCCUGGCUGCCUCCCAGGAGGAGGGGUCCUGCCGCAGAAGCCAGGUGUGAAAUCCCGUGCAGUGUGGAGCCACCAGAUGUCUUCUCUCCUAGUCUCUCUUGUGUUCCUGGCCCUGGUGCUUUUGCCAACAGGUGGCCUCGGAAGCUGCCCUCCAGCUGCUGCUGGGUCAGUCACCAAGAUCCCAAGUGCGGACAGAGAAAGAUAAAGAUAAAGACCAGGAAACCGUUGCUAACACAAUUGGCCCAGAGCAGAGAGUAAAUCGCCAGAAAUGGCCUGGAAGAGGCUAUAAAAGGAAAAUAAAACAGGAUAGUUAUUUAUGGCACGCAGUAAAAGAUCUGGGGGAAUCCUUGCCUUGCCGCCAGUGAGGCUUCGCUUCCCACACUCAGAGAGAGGCCCCUUACCACUUGAGCAGCUCGUAGCCAGACUGGCAGCCCCAGAAUUUUGGAGUCCCCCAUCCCCACAUUGAGGAGGGACAGUAGAAGAAACUUGUCUUCUAGCCCUCUUCUUAUCUUCAUAUCUGUUCCCUGCAGAAGCACCUCCCCUUUAAAGCCUCAGGACCUCGAAUCCCACUGUCAACCACCUUAUAGAGGAGUCUUGGAGUGCCUUAUCUCACUUGAUCCUUACGAAAACUCUGAGGGCAAGGGUGUGUGUGUGUGUGUGUGUGUGUGUGUGUGUGUGUGUGUGCGCGCGCGCGCCUACACACCUUGAAACUUAGGGGUUGUUAGAGGACUGGCUCAAGGUCACACAGCUAGUCAGUGGCAAAUCCAAGACUUUGGUCUAGGACUACCAAUUUCAAGAUCAAAGUCUUUUUCAAACCCAUCUCGUUAUUCUUGCUAGGACUAGAAGACUUUGAAAUUCAAUUCAUUGGCACUCACACUUCCAAUGUCCUCCUCAGUCAGGAGAUCCCAGAAGGCUGAAGAUUUCCAGGCCAAAGGGCACCUGAAGGCUCUGACGUGGAGAAAUGAAACUCCAGAGAUGGAGUAGUAGAUCCCCGGCUUCAGAGUCUAUGCCUGGACUUGCAGGGCCUAUCCACUCCGUCUGGCUCACCAGUGUACGAGCAGGUCACAGUGGUGUUCUAAAGAACAGCUGUCCGACAGGCCUCCAUAGGAAGCCAGAGGGCCUGGUCCUUGCAUCCCCUUCCUGGUAGCCUGAGGCACAUUCAGUGCCUGUCUACCAUCUCAAGUUCAAAGGUUAAGGCAAGUAGCAAGACGGCUCGAGCUCCUGUCCUGUCCUAACAGACUAUAACAUAUGAGUACAGAGGGAGGGGUCCUGGCAUGAGUAGACCCAAGCAGCCUCAGUCUUGGGACUCUUUCUUUGGUUGACUUGAGGGAUGUCCUUGGGGACAAUCCCUUUGCAGCGUGGUGCAGGAAGAGGUGAGAUUCGAGCCCAGAGCCAUUGUUGGUUCUCCCAGGCAAUGAGCGUAUGCCAGUGGAGGAGUCUGAGCCCCAGUGGUUCCCUUGGUAAGCACCGACAAGAAUGAUGGGAAUGGCACUAAGUAAAUUCCCACAUGCCCUUGGCUUGUAGGGUGCUGUGGCUACUACUGGCUGAGCAGAGUGGCCACCGAGACCCCUAUCUCAGCUGCCCUUAGUCUUGAGGUCUAUGGCCUCCUGAUACCCACGUCUCUAGAUCAAGGGCCUCUGGGUAGUAAAACAACCCUAAAACUGAGAGAAAAAAAGCCAACUCCAUAUAGACCAAGGGAGAGAUUUGAGGACUGUGCCAGACCCUGCAGGGUCACAGAGGGUAGGGUCUCAAGUCCCAACAGCAUCUUUAACUCUUUCCCCAAACAAUCCCCUCAGAGCUCCAUUCUGCUCCUUGCUCAUCUGCCCCAAGCCCAAACUGCUCUGCCCUCCACUCAUUCUGAGACCAAGCAGCCACCAAUCUGCAGUAAGGACCUGUGGUCUCCUAGCUGUCCUGGGGACUUGAAGGGGUCAGUCCUGGGGCUUUGAAGAUCUCUGGUCACCAGGCUGGUGACUCUGACUCCUAGGUUAACUUCCACACCUGUCGAGGGAAGCCCAGCUUUGAGAGCAUCCGUUGUCAACCCAGAGCACAGAUUUUGCAAAGUGACUUUGCAAGGGUGUAGUUUGUCCCAACCUACCGGACCAGUUUCUAGCAAUUGCUUCUUUUUCCUGUCUUUCACAUUGUAACUCCCCACCCCUGCACCCAACAAGGCUUGCAGAUUCCUAAGUGGGUUGGCCUAAGCUAGAUCCUGGAUCUGAAGGAAUCAAGUUUUGAAAUGAUUUACAGAAGAAUUUAAGGGUUCAGGGAACUUCCCAGAGCAGCAGCACAGUGGCCCCUUUGAAAAAGCCAUGUCAUGUCUAAUCCGUACUCUUUGAGAAUGGCCACCAGUCUGUAGCUUUUUCCUGCAUUUCUGAAAACAACUAGGGAUACUUGAGAGGGAAUGAGGCCUAGUCCUGUUACCCACAGAGAGCCUUUACCCUAAGAAACCCUAACUGCCACUUUGCUGGCUUAUCUGGGCUCCCCGGGGCUCCUGGAGGGCCUGGGUAGAGUUUUCUGUAGCCAGAGUACAGAGAGAGCAUUGGAGCCCUUGCCAGCUUGAGUGUCCUUGCCAAAUUCCACAAACAAGACCCCACCAGGUUCUUCCCUUGGGUCCCCAGACGGACACGUGGUUUAUUCGAACCAGAGUUACUGUCAUGCAAGUUUGACAGGAACACUGGGGGAGGGGGGGAGCGCUGGGUUCCCUUUGAAGCCGUUAGUUCUCCCCUGGGCUCCAAGGGCUCUGCCACCACUGUUUCUCUGCUGGUUGACUGCUAGUGGAUCCAGACGGCCCCUCUGACCCUGGCUAUGUGCUUGGGGGCUGAGGUGCUCAGGGCAGGACACCCUCACUCAGCUCCGUCCUCCUAGAGCUUGAGAGCCCAUAAAGUGAGAACAAUACCCCUGACAGUGUCUCAGAGAGUGGCUGCCGCUUCCCGCUUCCGUCCUCAGAGCUUGGGAACUGGCAAGGUUGGACGACUGGACACCUCGUGAGGAGAGGAGCCUGGAGUCUUGCACUCCAGCGAGGCCAAGUGUGGAUGAACAUUAAGCUUACUUUGAGGUGACUUAGCUUGGUGGCCUCUGGACCUCUGUAAAAGCCUUUCAGCAGCCAGAAAAUAAGGCCAAGUCAGACACGGGGACCAUGACCAUGGGUUUUUAGUACCUGGCCUGGGUCAUGAGUCUUUCUCCCUAUGUUGACGAGGCCAGUGGCAAUAUGGAGCAGCUCCAGACAGAGCUGACUCUUUUUCUCCCAGCCCCCUCUCAGCAACCAAGUUCCUUCUGUUUAUUCGUGUGCUGCUGCAAGUGCACUGACUUCCAUUGGCGUGUUGAUCUCUAGGCUGAGGAGCCUGUCUGUGAAGGGUACACUCUGCCCUUUAAGACCAAUGGACCAGGAGCAGAGGGAGCCAGGAGGACAGCCCCAGGUCUGGGGCAGUGAGGAGAAGAGGGAUGAUGGUGUUGGGAAGACUUGGAAUGACAACCUCUGGGGACCAAAUAGGUCAGAGCAUGUUGUUGUAAAAAAUAAUAAAAAUAAAAAAAUAAAAAUGAAACGGUAAAUGUUUUUCUCUGGGUGUUUUACCCUGCUUGGGUUCCACACCUCAGUGCCCCAGAUAUCUGCUGGAUAUCUUGGCGGAAACACAGCCCAGCCACACACUUUCUUACACUGAGACUCUUACAUAUAAAAACACACCACACAAUAAUCUUAGAUCCAAUUGGUAAGAUAUAAUUGCCCACUUAAACAUACAAAGCCCGAUACCAUCUAUCCCUUGCACCUUUUAUUUACCAAGUCUCCAGCUUCUUCUUCUCCCACAACGACUCCUUGCUUCUCCUCUCUCUCUCUUUUCUUUACUCACUCUCCCAAAUAUAUCAACUCUUUUAUGCUUUAGUUUCUCUUUCUCUUACAACGACUCCUAGCUUCUCCCCUCUCUCCAUCUCCUGUCUCCUCUAACUCUUCUCAGUUCCCCAUCCUGUCUCUAAACCGUUCCCUUCUCCUCCCCUCACUCUCAACUAUUCCAUCCUCUCCCCCUCCUGCUCAGGUUCCACUGGCUCAACUGUCACCAACUGUCCUCUCUAACCCUAUUCUCUGAAUCUAAUCCCCCUCUUGCUCCUGACUUUUCCCUCUGUCCAAAUCUCACGCUCUUGCCUUUAUUUACCAAAUUCAGAGAAAAUUUCAAGGCAAACCACAACAUUAGCAGCCUCUGGACCACGGGGCUCUGGCCUUCCACGGCCACCUCCCAGGGGCUGUGACCCCUAUGGGGUCCUGGAGUACCCUCUGACUGGAGUACCCACUGGCUGGAGUACUUCCCUCCCCUUGACUGGGACCUAGGCGUGAGUGAACCGGAACCCAGUGACUCUUGCUUUGUUCUCCUGUUUAAGAGGUGGACUUCACAAAGAAUCUUCUAGUCAGAACAACCCAUGGAGGGCCAGCUUACCCGCAACAGCCCUCGCCAUUGACCUGAACCCUGAAAAGUAACUGCCCGGGCCAGCAAGAAGAGCACACACAGUCUAUCUCUAGCUUCGGAGGGCAGAGAAGUGCUGACCACAGAGGAGCCCAGAAAGCAUUCUCUGGGACCCCGCUGCUGCUGCUGCCACCGCCGCCGCGCCGCUGCUGCCUGCGCACACCCUUGACUGAGCACUAGAUCCAUCCACGCAGGUUUCUGACCUCUAUUUGCCUCCUGGAGCCCCACCAUGCCUCUCGCCAAAGAACCAGUUGAGCUCUGCUCUGCACACUGGCACCCAAGAGGCACAGCCUCACACUACAUCGGCACCCUUUCUCCAUGUGAGAUAAUUCUCAGGGUGGACGGACAGACCUCAGCCUCUUCUCUCAAAUGAACCCCUGCUGAUGGAGAGGUCUGGGUAAAAGCCCACUGAGCUACGGGUCUGUGCAGCUGGGACAGAAGUCAGCCUCCUUCCUUGUCCCACCAGCCUCCUCAUCCCUUACCCUCCUUGUGCCCCAGCACCCAUGUCUGGAAGCCUGCGCCGCAGCCCUUCUUUCCCAGUCUAGAACCCACUCUAAGCCCAUCAUACAAUAGUGAGACCACUCUUAGUUGGAUGGUACGCUCUAGGGACCCCAUAAAAGGCUAGGAGCUGCAGGAAGAAGCUCCCAGGGUGCCAGCAGCUGAGCUCCAAGUAGGUAGUAUCAGGGUGGGGGAGUCCCUGGGGUACCUCGAGUUUGAGCAUAACUCUAACCAGAGGCAAGCUGGAGACUGAGGACAGCUGGGGGUCGGACAGUGACCAUUUUUGUGCCCUCUUGCAGGAGACAGACUGUUGAGGGAGUGGUUGGCUUUGUCUAAGAGGGAUGCCAAGCAAGUCUUCGCGAGAGGCUUUGGCAUAGAUGCAGGGGGUCCACCAUGUAGUGGGGGAGGUGCGUGGGUCUGGCAAACUUUUAAAUGCUGAGGUAGCUGCACUGCUCCCCCAGCUUCUCCUUCCUUUCUGGGGCACCCUGAUAUUUUCAUGGCAACGGAAAUCUUGCAACUCAACCAGUAGGUUGGAGGUGGCGUGGGGGAGAAGGGCUCAGUGACUUACCAUGGAAUACCACUCCAGAUGUGGUAACAGCCAGGACGUAGCCUUGACGGGAAUGGAAGGAGCAGAUGGCCAGAGACACUGGAGGCCUUGGCUGAGGAGGCAGAAGUGCCAGGCACCCACGGAAAGCCAGCAGCGUGUCUCCCUUCUUCCCUCAGCACACGCAGCCCCUCCCCAGUCUGGAAGAAGCUGCACUUGGCCACAGGAGGCAGUUUUGAGCUUUUUCUAGCAGUCCCAGAUUGUCGAAACUAACUGGCCCUCGCCAACAUUUCAUAAGGCCUUCCUAGUGAUACCAGCGUGGAUAUGAAAGUGUGUGUGUGUGUGUGUGUGUGUGUGUGUGUGUGUGUGUGUGUAUGCGCGCACACGCACGUGCGCGCAGAGGGGAAUUCCUCUCAAGGAAAAGCCCUGGACUGAAGAAGAGGGAAUACUGACUCACCCAACCUAGCCUAAGGUGUGAAUGACGGUGAAUGACUGCAGGAGGGGCCAUCCCAGGACGCGGCGUGCAGAACCUGAAGUUGGCCUUAGCGAAGCGUGCACGCCUCCAUUCUGUCCACUGCCCUCCCGUCCCUGGGCAGAAGUAGGAUGGGGUGGGGGUAGCUGACGGAGGCUUUACCUGUGGUUAAGAAGGACUUAGGAGAGUCUUACCCUGGUCUCCCGAGGCCCCUGUCUUGCUUGGCUCCUUUUCUGUCCUCCUCAGCUUCUCUGGCUGUUUGCUGAGCGUUUUCUCCACUGGGUCAAAGUCCGAAUGGACUGAAGCAACCGCGGGCCAGUAAGAUGCGGCAUCCUAAGAAGCGGCAGAGGGCAUCGAGGAAGUAUCCAGCCAGCCACCUUUCCUCCAUUUAUUUACCCCUGGGGCUUUAGGGAAGGGUCUCUUCUUCCUGCCUUUUCCAGGCCCACCCCACUCCUUUCCCACUGCACCAGGCCAGAGCCUCUCGCGAAGCCUUGCUUGGCCUCCCCAGCCCGAGCCCCAAGGGAGGAAGGAAAGGAGACCCAAACCCCAGUUCAGAUGAGCCACACCCCACUCCUCCCAGGUGAGCUUUUAGCUUUUGAAGUUGGCACAUUCUGUUUUCUGGGCUGGAAUGAGAAUGUGUCUUCCCCUCCUACCUCAAGCUUGGUCCCUUGAGCACACAUGACAAAGAGGGCUAGUUCUGGGAAGUCCCCCAUUGAGUCUGGAGCUCAGAGAAGGCCUCUACCUGGAUAAUUGGGUUUCUUGUCACCUCAGGCCUGUGUGGCCAGCUCAGCCUUGAGCUCAUGGUCCCUCUUCCUUACCUAGUUGGCCAUUUCUUGCCAAUUGUUCUUUUCCACUUUAACCCCCACUGUUAGUGACCUCCUUGUGCCCUGAGUUAUUUCCAGACCAGUCUCUGAGAAGGAGACUCCAUCGGGCCAUGCUGCUUCUUCACCCCAGGCCUCCCCUGGCUGGCUUGUUGUAAAUAUGGCUGCCCUCGGGUCAGCUGGGACCAACCAAGAUGAGUGCCUGUAGCACCCUACUCUCAGCCAGGCUGACUGGCCUUAGAAGAAGUCAUAAGCAUGGCGAGGCAGUAGCUGCUGUGUCUUAUUAGACUGUCAAGGGUCUGACAGACACUGAGGUACUGUCCUAGCUAGACCCUGGGGACCAUAUGUCAUGAAGAUUGUACAGAGCCAAACUGGCCCUCUGGCACCUAGUGGGCCUUCUAAGAAACAGAAGUGUGUCUGUAGAACAGAGGAGACUGCAUGGGGACCUGGCAGAGCCCAGGGACUCAGCGGGGGUCACAGGAGGAGAUGGAUCACUGAGAGGACAAGCAUAGCCCGAGGGCGGCUCCCGCUGAUGAAGGUCAGGCUGGUUCUGGGGUGGCUGGGCUUACCGCACCUGUUUGUCUGCGUUUCUGAGAUUGGACCUUUAAAGAACAAGAAGCGGUGAUCUGAUUCUGCAAUUCUUCUGCCCUUGCACCGUGGUUGUCGUCCCUGCCCACGCCCCCACUCCCAGGCCUCUCCACAGGCUGUGUCCAGUCUCAGCUAGUGCUGCUGGUGCAGGGAGGAGAGGGCACUUGAGAAUCAGGAACCCCAGGGACCUGCCUGGCAGCCCAGAGCCAGCCCACCAGCUCUCUGGGUAGCCAGAAAGGUUGGCUUGGCAUAGAGUCUCAAAGGUCACACUCCUUCCAGGUCACCAUAACUGAGUCUUGGACUUCAGAGUGGGGUUUUUUAAAAAGAGAAUAACAAUGAACCCCCUGAACAAAGGUGCUCAAAGAUGGCUGGCCCCUCUGGGUAGGCGGGUUUCCUCCUUAUGGGUUGGGUGGCUUCGGAGUGAGUCCAAACACUGUUUUUUGAUUUCCCAAACCUUGGGCUUGGUACCAGCCCUGCCAUUUUCUUUUCUCGGUCCUUAAAGUCCAAUCCUCUGUGCCUUUUUGUUCUCACCCCUCAGUCGAGCCUCUCCCAACCCGCGUGCAGGCCCAGGCCCAGCACUUACUGACCUGGCCCCCAGUGGUCACCCUGUUGUAGCUAACUGUGCCAGCCUGCAGGAUGGAUCUGGUGGGGGACAGAGGAUGAAAGUGGUCCCUGGCCAGCCAUAUGUAGACCUGGUCUUCCUAGAAGCCUGCCUGAGCCACCCUGUGGGGGUGAGCCCAGGGCUACUGUGCCCCUGCAGCACAUUUGGGGGAGGGGAAGGAGGGUGGGGGGAGGCCUCCCCCCCACCCCCAGCAAUCUGCUGGGAGCCACGAAAAUAGUGGCAACAAUUGCAAAAAAACAGAGGCACAUGGUUUGGGGGGCGGGGUGUUGCAUUUAGGGACAGUCGCCUGGAAUUGUUACCAAACUUUUGAAACACAAAAAACAACAAAGGAAUAAAAGCAGUCAGUAAUUAAGCACAUAACCGUGCACACCACUUGUUAAUUAAGCUUUUUCUCCUAAAACCUGACAGAAUCUGCUUACAAGGUGAUAGCUGAGGGGAGGUGACAUAUGGCAGGCCAUCUGUGACGCGAAAGCAUUACAAUGAGAGCUUCCCGCCCCCAUUGGAGGGGGGGUGCAGCAGGUGCUGUACAGAAGUUUCUGGAGUGGAGCGAUUGUCUUCAUUCUCUGCAGAAAAUGAGUUGAUAGUACACGGUGAGGACAGAACUACGGGAAGACACACGUGCUUCCGCUCUCCAAACUGUCUGCCCUGCAGCAGCAGCUGGAUUCGGCACUCCAUGGCCCAAGUUCUGUGCGUCUCUGCUUGGGCGACACUUACACGUCUCUGGAGCUCAGCUUUGAACUCUGGCAGAAAGGCAAAGAAGGGAGGGCAGCAACUGGAGAUGGCUCUUCAGAGAAGGAGAGUCAAAGGAACCAUGACCCUGCCCUCACCCCCCUCCCCCAGACCUGGGCUGACCUUCCCCCAUUAGCACAUGGGCCUCUGAGCCCAUCUCCCCUAAAGGACCAGGUCCUCACUGUAAAAUGGAGAUAUAUUACCCAACCUUGGGCAACGGCCUGGAGGGAGGGAGGCUCUGGUAAGAGGCUAGAAAACACUUAUUGAACUGACAGGAGGCUUUGGGCGCGUAUGGAGUUAUUGAUAAUCACUUGAACUCUAUACGUGAUGUUGAGAUUCUGUGCUCACUGAGCUCCUACCCUGUAGCUAGAGCUAUGCGGCAGGCCAAGCCCUGAGUCACGGGCUCCGGGGCCCUGAGGAGGGAGGACAGGCUGAUGACUUCGAAGAGAUCCUCCACCUGAUACCUGAUACCCACUUUCUCCUCCUGGGAAGGGGGAGAGACAAUUUUGCUGAACAAUACAGAAACGGCCCAGCUGCCUGCCCCUGCCCCUGCCCACCCAGAACAGACAACCUUUGGUCUCUUCUCUGUGGCCUUAGUUGAGUCACAUAGUACAAAGCACGGUGGUCUGUGCAUAGGGAAGCCCCCUGCCCCUGUGUGCUGUCCCCACAGGCCCCUCAGCCCAGUCACAGGGCUUGGGGACCUCAGUGAAAGGACCAAACGGCUGUUAACAAAUAUGGCUUCUCUCUUGCUUUAAGCCCUGUCUUUCUUUGAGUCUUAGAUGAGUGGAAAGGUGCUGUGUGCAUCCUGUGACAUCUGUCCCAGAGUUGGCUGAGCCACAUGAGGGACAAAUGGGAAUGUCAGCAGCCACAGCCCCUCGGGCAGGCGUCGCCCUGCCGGUCUAAUGCCCCACCCCUUUCUUUCACAGGAAUACCCUCUUCUGUGGGGGUGUUACCCAUGGCUUCCCAUACAUACACACAUCCUCAGGGCACCCUGACCAAAGGGAGGGCUGCUUACAGGUCCAGCUCUUCUGCCGGGUCUGUGGAGCUCCAAAUAUUUCCUCAAAACACUUGUUUCUCUGCAGGAAGCCCAGGCAGCCCCUGACCCAUGAGGAGAGCACGUGACCCUCCCCAGAAGUCAGGGGCCAGUACUACUGAGUGUACACAGACAGUGUCUGAGUAUCUUCUAGGGCCUUCUCCAUUGAGCAUCUGGGAUUUCUUACCGAGCCUUUAAAGGAAGGAGUAGAUGGUUCUAAAGCCCUGUCUGUGUCCCAAGUAGGGAUGUGUCACACAGACAUACAUUGGUGCCACAUCCUCAGCCAAGUUACCCCAGGACAGAAAGGGGGUGCUACUGCCCUAUCACCUCCCACAUGAGCAGGUUUUCAAAAAGGACUAGGGGGUCUGACAUCCCUGACUAACUCCUGCCCUACAGAGAAGGAGAAUCAGACAUCUAUACGCCCUCGAGGUUAGAGGGAGCAGGAGGUCUCUCUCUGGUCCUGGAGCCGCACCCUCCCCUAUACACUCAGAAUCCUAACUCAGGCUACCAGGUUCUACGAAUUCCAAUCAGGUGAACAAGGUGCCUCCAGCAGGUCGGUUGCAAGAGAGGAAAAGCCAACAUCUGUGGAUUUCGACAGGCUGUUUCCUGGGGUGGAGCCGAAGUGUGUCCGGGAGCUCAUAAAUGGCUGUUGUAUCUCUUAAGAAUUCAUUAAAUUGCCAAGAUUGGCAUCUCCUUUUGGACAUGCUUUUCUUGGGAGAAAAGGGGUGGUGAGAUUAGGACUUAGUUGGGGGUUGGGGGGUGGGAAGUGGAGGCCAGAGAAGAGCUCAGAACCCCCACAGGCCAGGCAGGUGCUCAUGAUGUAACCUCAGAGAGGAAAGGAACCGAGACUCUCACGUGUGCCUGCUCACGUGGCGCUAGGUAGGAUUUGCCAGCACAGUUCCAUCUCAGGGCUGCCCCGUGGCAGUGCUGAGGUUGAAUCAGCACAGAUCUUGGGCCAAGAAGGCAGGAUCUGUAAAGCCGGUCUCUGGUGAGGGGUUGGCCUAGAGUGGGGAUGGAGAGAGCUCUGUUCAGGCUCUCAGGUGAGGACCGUGGCUGCAGAGGCAAAGGGAACAGUAUAGGUUGAGCGUGAGUGGGCAACUAGCAUUCCUGAAAGGUGUCCUCAGGCUGGCCCAGUGAGGAAGGGGCUCCCAACUCUAGGCUAGGAGCAUUCUUCAUUAGCCCUCCUCUCCAGAGGAGGGAAUGGCCCAGUGAAGGCCUGAAAUGGUAGACAAAGACACAGAUCUCCACCAGUCUACCGAGUGCCUUCCCUCGUCCUGGAGGACCUACAGCCUAACAUGGCCCACCUGUAGCCGCCUGGACCCAGGUGUCUCUGGGAAGCUCCAAAAGCCAGGGGAAUCUCAGACAGCUGGGUGCUCACACCACACCCACCCCCAACCAGUGGGGGUGGGGGUCACUAUCACGUGGCUGUGAUCCAGGCACCCCUUUCCAGAGCCAGCUGAUGCUGGCAAGACCAAGAGGGAAAGGCUUCCGUCGCUCUAGAGUAUACAGAUCAGGUCCCCACUCCCUGUCCCUAGCUCCUCACUGGGCACUGCCUAUCAGUCCCUCCAAGCUAGGCCUAGGCCACAGAGAAACGAUGACCCCAGAAACAUCCCUUAAACGGGGAAAUGUGGGGGUAGGGGGAGCCAAGAACUUUGUCCUGGGAACCAGGCAGCCCUUCCAACUAUUCUGACCCCCAUUCUAUCUUGGCUUCUUUCUCAAGCCAGCUUAGAUAGAAAACCAUCCCUGCAGUCUGGCAGCCCCAGCCUGACCCCAUCCCCAACCCAUUGUCCCCAGGCACAGCCUCGAUCCUUCCGCACUCCAUUUCUUUGCUGUGGCCUCCUCUUUGUGUAUAUCCUGCAAUCCAGUCACACCUUCAUGCCGGAAGCUUCUAGAUGUGCAGGAGCUUGGAGGAGGAGGAAGUAGGUUCAGAACUGCUCUGUCCUAGUACUGGGGCCAAGGAUAAAGCUGGGAUUGGUGGGUGCAGCUGUUGAGAGGAAACUUCUCAGGGGGAGAUGGGGGACUACAAACAUUGUCUAGUAUAGCAUACGUGUUUGCCUGGACAUUGCAAGCAUGACCUAAGGGUACAGAGCUCAUCUCCGGAGGCCUUGCUCAGAACGAUGUGAAUCGUUAGCUCCUGGUACGGUGGCCCCAUGGCAGCUCAACCAAAGGAGCAUUUGUCUUCUUGUUAGAAGGAAUGAAAUUGGAAAGAAGGGCCCUGCCUCCCCCUUCCUGCAUAAAAGGACGACAAUCGAACGCUUUUCUUUGCUCCCAUAAAGUGAAGUGUGGGGGUGAUAGGCCUUCUGCCCCUCUCAUUGUUUUGUAUCCAGUCCUGACUCCUGACUCUGGACAUAUUCAGAGACCCUUCCCAAAGAGGGACCUGGGAAAGUUACCUCUUACCUUCCCCAGUGGUCACCCUUCCCACCAGGUCUCCCAACGAAGGAAUAAUCAAGCCACAAGACUUCUUAUACGCUUAACCAUUGACUCCUAACUCUUACAGAGUGUCAGACCCACUAUCUUAGAUUAGGUCAGGUUCUUCAUUCAUUCAUCCAUCCAUCCAUCCAUCCAUUCACCCACCCAUCCAUUCAUCGUUUACCCCAAAAUGAAAACGGUUAAGUUCCCAGAACCAAGUAGAGCACUGGGGAGAAAUGUGCCCUGGUGUUUUCCAGAGAACCCCAAAUGAAACCUCACUUGUAGAGGCAAAAAUGCUGCCCCAAAACCUUAAUGGGAAUGAGUCUCGAGACUUGCUUGUGAAUCAACCUCAAGUCUCCAAGCUCUCAUCUCUGCCUCCACUGUCUUCCCCAUGCCAGUGCACGGAAGCUUGCUUCAGGGUCUUGGGUAGGGUCAGCAGCAGCCCAGUGGUUCCAAAGGGCCUGGGCUCUGGAGCUGGGUCAUGCGUUGUAAUCUUCCCAAGAGGCCAGCUCUUAAACCCAGAGCACCAGUGAUGCUCUCACCCUGAGAGACGCAAAUGCCACGGGGACUCAAGAUGCCUCUCGCCAGCAUUAUUAAUUCCCUGCUUGGACAGAAAUUAAAUUGCAGGGUUUGCCCAUAUGAAGAGUUCUUUACUGAAGGAUACACCCACCUCACAGCAGCUUAGAGGGGUAUGGCAGGCAGCCAGACAGAGUCUUUGCGGCCUAUUAGCUCUUCCCCUGACUCUCAGCAUCAUCAGAAAGUUCUUGUGUGAGGUGGCUGGCUCUGCCCCAUGUUUAGCAGAGAUACUGAAACGCAGAUACUCAAUUUCCCAUACGUCUUUGCGAGUUUUCUGAUCAGGGGAGUAAGGUCAGAGAACUCUUCUUGUGCAAACCUCGGGGUGGGGUGCCUUGGAGGUACCAACGUGUCUCCUGAAGCAGCUCUAAACAGUCUGAGGGACAGUCACUUCUGUCUGGUGUUAUUUCACCGCUUUCGUUUCUACUCAAGAAUAUGGUAGUUACUCUCUGCAAGCUACACCCAGCUAAGCUGGCUGUCCAACCCGUAGUGCCGCCCUUGGUCAUGGUCAGCCUUUUUAAGCAUGAGUGGCACACAUAAGACAAGCUACCCCAGGGUCACCCCAGGGCCACCGAGGUGCUUGCUCACUACUGAAGGGGCUGUCGCUGGGAGGGACGAGUAUGGUGUGUGUGUGCUCACUUUCAUGCAUGCCCUGCUUGUGUGUGUGCAAGGGGGGGCCGGGUGUGUGUUGGGGUGUGAGGUUUCGAGAGGGGCAUGUGGGCAACCACUAAAGAGGCUGGGAGUAUGUGGACACCCUUCUGGGGGAAGAGACAUUAUAUUUAUUUAGUCUAACCUGUCAGGGAGUAAGGCUAGGCAUGGUUUGGGGUGAGAGGAGUCACAUACAUGGCCCUGGUGCUAAAGUGUGACGUCCCCAGCCCCAGGCUCUAAGCUGAUAGCGACACAGAACAAAAAAAAAAAAAAAAAAAAAAAAAAAAAAAAAAAAAGCACUUGGCAACAAUUAAUUGCUGAGCUGUGAAGAAAAAUUGUUUUGAAUAUUAAGAUUAUAGAUAUAAUGCUAUUAGAAACACGAUUCGGGGUUUAUGAAAACAUUAUUUAUAUUGAUUUAUUCCAGAGCCAUCAAGACUCCUUGAAAAUAAUUACAGGUGACAUUUCCAUCAGUGAAACCAAACGCUGAUUGUACACAGUGAAAAUGCCAUGCUUGGGGCAGGCUGUGCUCUCGAAAGUAUCCAACAAAGAAUCAGAUUCGAUAGACCCCAGAGCCUGACCCAGGGCCAAGGGGCAGCCUCUGGGCAAAUCACAAGAGGCCUCUCUACUAGAUGCUCUCUGACAUCAGCAACUGUCUCAGAUCUGGCAGGGCCAGCAAGGACUGGCACCUUGCGGCUGGAGCUGGAAUGGAGUUCAGUAAAGCUGUGGGCAGGGAAGGGAGGCUCUAGACACAGAGGUAAGGUGAGUUUGGCUGCUAGGGUGGAGACUUGAGGAGCUGGGCUUUGGGAAGUGGGAAUGAGGGAGAGAGAAGGGAGUGACGAGACCUCCCUGGUGCUUUGAGAAAGAAAACCCUUUUCUCAAGACAGCCCAGCACUGAUCAUUUGCUGGCUUUGGCUUUGCAAGAGCUGUUGUCUCCUCCCAGGGGCCAGUCAGAUCACAGCUGAUCUUGUAUCUUCUGGCCUGGCUAGUCUCAAGCACAUAGAACCAGAGGCCUCUCAUGGUCACUCUGUCACAAUCCUGUGAUGGCCCCCGUGGGAUCCUUUCCACACAGCAGGCUUAGCAGGAUGAUGGUGGGUAGUGAAAUCAAUUUCAUGGGCUGCAACCAGCACAGGAGGCAUUAGGUGAGUCUGUCUGUCGAGUAGACCUCAUCCCAACAUAUGGCAUGCAAGUCAUGAGCUUCUGUUUGCUGGCUGUGGGUCCCGUGUGAUUGGUUUUAUAUAUAUAUAUAUAUAUAUAUAUAUAUAUAUAUAUAUAUAUAUAUAUAUUAUGUAUAUAAAUUGAAUGCUGAUGGAUGCUCACUAUUAAACACUGAGUACAAGACAAUUUUCAGUCCAACGUGGCCCCAAGAAACCAAAAGGUUGGACACCCUGCUCUGGGCUUUUGUCUGGGUUCUUGGAUUCCCAUCCCUUUCUGAGGUGCUGGGACUGAGGGAGUGUGUAUUAGUCAACCUUCAUAGUUACUUUUUUUCUGUGACAAAAUACCCGACAAGAAGCAACGGAACUUUUUUUUUUUUUUGGCUUACAGUUCUAAGGGAUACAGUGCGUGGUGGUAGGGGAGAUAGCAGCCGUGUGAGGCAGCUGGUCACUCGGGACUCACAGUCAGGAAGCAGAGAGAUGAAUGCCAACGUCCAGCUUUACUUCCUCCUUUUUAUACAGCCUGGGACUGCAGCCUAUCGACGGUACCACCACAUUCAUGGUGGACCUUCCCUCCUCAGCUAAACCUUUCUGGGAACACUCUCAAGAGAAUGCCCAGAGGCACGUUUCCAUGGCGAUUUUAAGCCCAGUCAAAUAGAGAUUUCACCAUCACAACUUUUACUCCUGUUGAGUUGUAUUUUGAUUCCAGAUGUGUUCCCAAAUGCUGGAGCAAAUGGGUCAGGCAGGAGGAGCACUGAGAGCAGACCAGAUGUCACCCAGAGCCCCAUCAUGACAGCCCGGCCAGCCUUCAUGUGUGCCUGGCACUCGGCAUGUUUUCCUUUGCCUUGCACAAUCCUACAGGAGAAGUUAGUUGCUAGAUCAAUUUGUACACACGGUCUUCUGCUCUUGAAGCACCUGCACCAGAAUCUGCCCCCGAAAGCCUGCGCAGGCAGCAAGGCCUAGUAUCCUCCUCGUGUCAGGUGUGCAUAGUGCAGCUGCAGGCUUGCAUGAGUAAAGGCCGCCUUCCUUGGGGGUGAGACUCCUGGAUGGCAGGUUCCAAGGUGUCCAGAGGAGCCCAACACAGGCAGAGAGAGACAUGCCCCCCUCAGAGAGCUCUGGUCCCACCUCAAGCUUUCUUACCUCCUAGCACUUCAAACCUGCUCUUCCACAUCACCAAAACCUGUCAGAUCCACUUGGGAUGAUCAAGGCCUUCGGAAGCUGUGCCCAGUCUCCGACCCGGGGAAGGGGCUGAUGGGAAGAGUGAGGAGGUACCUUUUCCUUGCACAAGUAGCCCGAAGGGCUUUGUCUCUGGGAAGCUGGAUCCUCCCAACUCGCAGGAGAGCCCAGGGAGCCCCAGAGAGCAGCCUGAGGGCACCCAUGGCACUUAUUUUAUUCUUCAAUGUCCCUUUGUCUGUUUUCUCUUUCCCAAGAUCCCCUGCUCCCUUUGUGAGGUUCCCGGGGUCUAGGCAGACACCUGCCCUCCUAAGGAUGGAACAUGGGACCUGACUGGGACACCCACACCCAGUGCAGCAGUUGGCUCUGGUGUAGUCUCAUGUGACUUGUCAUGGGACCUGACUGGGACACCCACACCCGGUGCAGCAGUUGACUCUGGUGUAGUCUCAUGUGACUUGUCAUGGGACCUGACUGGGACACCCACACCCGGUGCAGCAGUUGACUCUGGUGUAGUCUCAUGUGACUUGUUACCUGUUGAACUGGGGUGUGUCCUCGGGCAAGACCUUAGUUAUACUGUGUGGGGUUCAAUUAGGAGCUUGAGCAUCUUACCUAGAGCUAAUGCACUGAAGAAAAUGUCCCUCCUCCUUCUGGCAACCAUUAACUUCCUAUAAAUUAUCAAGGAACAGCAGGGCCGCAGGACGAAACCUUGGAAGCACACAGUCCCUAGAGCUCCGGAUGACGUCUUUGCAUCUGCGGUAUAACCUGCAAGCAUCCCCGCCAGGAAGCAUGGGAAGAAAGCCUUCUGCAGGGCCCUCCACAACCCUGGGGGGCCGGGGCGGGGAGGCUUGUCACUCUUGAGGUGCCUGGCUCUGAAGCCUUGCUCUUGUUUCCCCUGGCUAGGAGUCUGACACAAAUCACUGUUUGUCUCCCAUUUGUUCCCAAGGACAAGAGUGGGGACAAGAUGCUUGCCCAUGAAGGAUUAACAUCUGUCCCACUCUUGUCCCAAACAGGACAGCGCCAGCGCUGCCUCCCUCAGUGCUGCCUCGCUCAGCGCCUUGGAGCAGGGAGGCUGCUGGGGUCUUCCCGUCUGGACAGGAGUACCUGGCACCCGGAGGUGUGUGACCCUCCCAAGGGAGUCCCACAGAAGCCUGGGCGAGCCUCGCUCACCAUGACCUUGAACUCCCAAGUCUCUUCCCCUCAGGAGAGGAUUUACUAGGAUGCUGACAUCUUUGUGUGUUGCUGUAUUAGAAAAUGUUAAAGGUUUUUAAAAGAUUUUCGAAAGGGUCUCUCUCUCUGGGUGUGGCUUAAGGUCAUUAAGAGGUGAGUACGGAACAAGCCCUGUGUACACAUAGGGCUCGCUCUUCAGUGUGAGCAGUGAGCCAGCCACUAAGGCUCCGCUUCGGGGCAGACAGUGAGUGCUGCUGGCACCGACAGCCGACAGCCGGGGAGGAAGCUUCUAGACACGUAGCAGGAGGGGCUACAGGUCUCUCGGCACUUGAUCUACAGCAAGGCAUCGGGAAUCACUCCUGGACGCGCUCAUACAAGAGUGCUUUACCAGUUCUUUUGACAGUUCUACCCUCCACAAACAAAUUGUCUCUGCUUAAACUGCACAGGCAGGCUCCACCCAGUGGAGUCCUUUGAGUGGAGCAGGGGCCCUACUGCAGGUCAAGGGCCUUGCCUGCCUGCCGUCUGGAUGCCCUAGCUUCACACAGGAGGUAACAGCUUCAGUAGCACAACGCCUGUGCCCUCUGGGAGUCCUGGGCUUCUACUGCUUGGCUUGGGUUUCCAGGAAGUUUUUAAAACCUGGCCAAGCAGCUGAGGGCAUCCACGUCCAGGGACUGCACAGCAACCUGGCUCUGGGAGGCAAGGAUCACGGUUCACAACUGCUGAUGCAGAACCCCAUGGCAUCUCCUUUGGGCAAGAAAGGGCCUUAUGAAGGGCCCCAGGCAGCUGGCACAGCACUGGAAAAUUAGACUACAAACCAGACUGGCUGGGCUUCCAGCAGCUCCCAGCUCCGAAGCAGGGACUAGAAAGCUGCCAGGUGAGCAUUUUGAGACCAUUGCAGAACACAGUCCCAAACCAAAGUGUCUUGGGAUCUGAUUGGCAGGAGACCAAUCAACCUGGACUCUAAGGAUUGUGGGAAAUGUAGUUGGCUUCACCACCCACCCAGUACAGAAAGGGAAGUGCAGUGGAGGAGGGCAGGACUGAAGUCUCACAGUGAGAAGCAGGAUCAUGGGGUCCCUCUCCCCUGACCCUUAACCCUCUGUGGACUGGCUGGCAGGGUGGUCAUGUGACAAGCACAAUAAGAAAUGGGGGAGUAUACAGGCGGAGAGUAGGCAAUCAACAAUAGGACAGACGUGAUUAUUGCCAGUAGUGUGGAUGAGCAUAUAACCACUAUGAACAAGAGGGUCUUUCCUUGGUCCAGGGAAGAAAGGGCAUGGUGAGCUGUACCAUUCUGGGAGGUGUUCACACAGGGUAGAUCUGUCUAGAGUGGUUUUGAACGUAUCUCGUGCCCUAGAGGCCUCCUUGCCUGUCCACCCAGCACCAGGGUGACUGAACCUAUACACUCAGGCACUAUUCUACACCUUGUCCAAGGAGUCUAAGUCAAGAAGGGACCUAUGAGGGACAUGUGAAGAACCCUGAAGUGCCUGUGAGCCCUGGGGACAGUGUGGCUGUACAAAAAGGACACUUUGGAACAGGGCCACGGCGGCCCCCCUCAUUCUCCCAGCUGCAGUUAACCUGAGGAGUGGGGUACCUCACCCUAACAGUUGCUCUUCCUGUGCGUCCCCACUUUGGUGGAAUGUGGUUCAGAAGCCUCUGCCUGGCCACAGAGGCUUCUGACAAAGCCGUAGGGGGCCAGGAGUUAAAGUGUGAGGGGGAUUGCUAACUUCCUUAAGUAUGGGUUACCAAAAGAAUGACAGACUUGAUAUCAAACUUGAUAUUCAAGUCACAGACUAAGAGGGAGGGAAACCAAGGCUUUGGUGCCUGGGGUGGUGCCUGGGGUGGAGUGAGCCUGCCAUGUCUCUUACACAGCCCCCCACCUCCAGCCCUCUCAGACACUCCUCCAUGCCCGGGCUGCAGUAUGUCCGCUGCCUUCUCUGUCUGCCUCUUUCUGCUCCUUAGUGCCAGCGUGCUGGCUGGCACCUCAUGGGUGUUGGCUAAAUGUUUGCAGAUUAAGCCGAGCCAUCUGCAUGGUUAAUCUGCCUGUCUCCUAUCACCAGGACUUGGCAUUUGCUGGCUGGCAGGGGCUGGCUCCUUUUUUUUUUUUCCUUCUAAAUUUAUUGACAUUAAGAUUGGAGGGUAUUUAAAUGGGUUUGGAUAAUCCCAGCCUCAGGUGGAGAGAGGACUCGGCUGUGGUCUCGACAUCUUCAUCGGUCGCACCAAAUACCUCCUUCACCUGUUCCAUGUGAUCCCCACAUCCCUCUCCUCCCUCUGUGGUUGGUCCUCUCUUUUUCUACCUAGACUGAUGACAGGGAAGGGACACACCCUUGGUCUUCCGUGCCUUCAUAUUUGCACCUUCAGAGCUUCAGGAAGCUGCCAGGCACCAAUUCCCCAUGUCCCCAAGCUCCCCUAUUCCAUGCGUAAUUCAGCUGCCUCUGCCCUGACCCCUGGGAACAUGGUGGCAUGAGGUAAUCCACUCUCGAAGGCCUGAAUUGCAAUACGUUGAGGAUAUCUCAGUGUAUGUGAUAAGCCCAAUAAAGAAAUGACUGGUCAGGCCCACAGUUGGCUCAGGACCCUGUGCCAGGAGGGUGUCCAGAACUCUCUGGGCAGCACACUGGAAGCCCUGUAGUGGAUCUGGCUGCACCGUGGCACACAAUACACCGGGGGGACCAUGAUGCUUAUUGCUGAAGAGGGUUUUGCUGUGGUUGUUGGAUAACAUGGCAGCACACAACACCAAGAGCCAUCCAUCUCCACAAGGUUUCCACGCCUGGGUGUUGUUAGUUAAAGCUGUUUGGUGCUUGAGCAGGUCUCCUGGUGGACUAAUGCCAUUGUCCCUGUCUGCUGAAAUAAGAGGCAGAGUCCAUCUCAGAAGCAAGUGUGCGGCUGGGGCUGAGGCUGAGCACGAGUAGUGCGGUAGUGACCAGAGAGGUCACUUGUCCUCUUGUCACGGGUGUGACUAGGAUGUUGGGUGAUUUAAAACAGCUAAGCAAGAAACAGGUGCCUGGCUCUGUGGGGACGAGACUAUGGGCCAAGGCCUGAUCUUGGGGAUUUCCGAUCACUUCUAAAGUGCUCGACAUAUCUUCUGCCUGGCCUCGGUUCCAGAAAUGCUGCGUGGGCCAAGAAGAUCUGCUUUACCCGCUUCCGUUAGCCUGGAGAUAGUCUGGCGUGGGGCAGGAGGAGGAGAGGGGAGAGAAGCAAUGACGUAAUACCAGUAGCAGCUGUCUGUCUGUCCGUCUGCUGAUUGCAGGGGAGUGGCAGAGGCUGCCUCCUCUACAACUCAGCCCUAGGCGAGACGCCAAGCACUGUGGGUCUCCCUGUUUUCAUCCAGAGUGAGGAGAACUGAUAUACAGCAAGACUUACUUGAGCAACACUUAAGUCGAGAAAAGUUUGUGGAGUAGGGCCUGGCACUGGAGACCGUGGGGCAGUGCUGCUAAGACCUUUCUUUAAGCUUCACACGUGUCUGGAAGGCAAGUUCAAUGGCAUUUCUCAGUGGCCCAGAGGAAAGUCAUGUCCCUGCUGUCACAGCCAACAAGUGGCAGAAGUAGGAUUUGAACCCAGGAGACUCUUGCCCCAAAUCCCAGAUGAAAGGGCCCAGGCUCAGGUUGAGCCUGUCUUCUGCACUUAGACACAAGUUAUUUUCUGCCCAGCCUUUCCUGGAGGCAAGGGGGUUGAUGAACCCCAUAGACUAGACAGACAGUGAGGAUGGGUGUGGCUGAGUGACAUGGCCCUGGGCCUCCCCACAGAGAGGGCUCCCUGAAAGUUGCAGACCUGGACCAAACUCUAGUGGGAGUUCACUUGAUGAAGUAGAAUCUAAGAAAAGUGAGCACUCCUAUCUCGUCUGCUCACUUGUCUUUAGAAUUUGUCGCUCCUGCAGCUGAUCAUCACCCCCAUCAAGAUACAGAACACUUCCAUUGCCCCCCAAAAGUUCCCUCCUGAAAGGUUUCCAGCCAGUAGUACCCCCUCCCCAACACACACACAGACACACACAUCCCACACCAAAUACCCACCAUGGGCUGAGUUUUAAAAGAUUAGUGGGAACUAACAAGGAGAAGGAAAUGUCGAAGGCAGCGGGCCCUGAAGAGCGAGCGGGCCAGUGGGAGUGCCGGUCUAUUAGUGUGAGUGUCACGGAGCAGCCAUCACUGAGGCCAGCCAUGACAUCAGAGAGAUUGUGUAAGAAAAGAGCCUGCAGCCUUGGGAGAAGCUGCGACUUCAUGCCAAAGGAUCAGGAACCCAAACUGCAAAGACGCCCACUUGGAAGUGUGACUGGAGGUCACAGCAGUGGCGGGUGAGUGAAAAGCAGAGAAAGCCAGGCUGUGAGGGAGCAGAGGCCAUCACAGCCAUGCGGGGAGCGGAGGAGAUCACGGACAGCUCAAACACCCCCACUUGGCCCCUUUAGACUGCUGCCCACAUGUGCGGGCCCCGCUGAUUUUUUUGUUUGUUUGUUUUUCAAGCAAAACAAGAAGUCUAGAUUCCUAAGAGUCAUCUUUGGAUUUAAAAAAAAUUGAGAAAUAGACUUAAAUCUCUCUGAAAUAGGAGCUUCUGCAAACUACCAGUUGGAGGAUCCUAUGGAGGGGGUGGGGAAUGUAACCAAGAGAAGGGCAGGUUUCUCCCAGGAAAUGUACUUUCUGAGUACUAAGUUUCCCUCAAACAUGUACAAACACACCUGGGUAGCACCCCCUCACCCCGUGAAGACACGAAUCAGCCCAGUGGCUGUGAGGGUGGCUACAUGACGAUUGUAGAGGCAGCCAAGAGGAGCAAGAAGCUAGGGAAAGGAAAGGCCAGUUGGCUGGGCCUCGAGGAUGUACUCUUUCCCGUGCCCACAGGGUCCUGUGUCCUUUAGAAGUCCUGGUCACAGGACCAUGUGUGUGACAUGUGACCUUCCAGAAUGUGUGGGAGAUGCCCUGGUAAACAGAUCACCCUCCUGAAGGGUCGGGUCAGUGCUCCCCUGUGUCCCUUGAUAUUCUCCCACCUUGCAUAGCACCCAGCAUACACUGGAUGGCUCCGGAUGUUAGACCCACUCAGGUGGACAUCCUCAAAGCCACACGCACAUGUGGAGUCUCUCCCAGUCUAACGUAUGACCGGAGCAGCCACUCCUGGGGCGGCUAGGAAUAGGCCUGGUUCGUGAGUCUCCCCUGAGAUAAGUGACUUAGGUUUAGUUUAAUACCUGGGAAGCCUCUGUGAUGCUGGGGCAGGGUGGGAAGGGUCCUGUCAAUUGGACUUGUCCGAAAGGCAACAAAAGGCAAGGCAACAGUGGGCCGAGGCCGAAGAUGUCACAAGGGAGAGGGUUGAAGCCCCAGUCACUGGAAUGUGAGGGAGAGUGGCCAAAGCAGGGAGCAGAGAAAGAGUGGAGGAGACGUGGGUAGAGACUGGGUCCUGCUGUCACACUGGGGACCAUGAAUUUUGCUUCUGAAGAUAGAGCCACGGUGAGGGUUAGAGAAGAGGGUGUGGUCCUGAGGCCUUCAGUACCCUCUUUUCUGUAACGAGGAGAUGAGGGAAGGAGUUGUAAGGCCACUUGGCAGCCGCAGCCCCGCGAGGGCCAGCAAGAGCAAAAGGCGGGGAUUGGGGGUGGGUGUAGCUCAGUGUGGACUGCCCUGGGCUCAUCGUGAAGGUGGAGGUGAGAGGGCUUAUCUGCUUAUGAGUGGCACAUGCUACACAGAGACGGGGAAGGCUGCCGGUGCCUGUGCAGGCCCAAGCAAAUCCUCUGGUGGUACACCGGGUUGCACAUCAACCCUUGUCCCUGUGCCGCAGCCAAUGCUGCCUCUUCUCUCCGGCCCUGGUCUCACUGCGGUGCUUCGGGCACCUGGUGGUGAAAGUAGGAGGAGCAGGGCCGGUGGGCGGCCCUUUACCUUCCUGUUUCCAUUGUGCGGAACGUCCCCGGUCUAACUCCCCAAGCUCGAACUCUGUAGUGUUUUCCAGGCAUUUCGACCUCUAGCCGCAAACUCUCUGCGUGCAUAGGCAACUCUGCCGUCUUUUCUAUCAGAAGAGAAUCGAGUGAACCUUCUGAGUUUUCAGCUUUCCCUCCAAACUUUUUCAAAAUAGUAUAUGUGAAGACGGCAAAGCAAAACCAGAACCCCCCCACCCCACCCCCACCCCCGGAACACAGCAGCAGCAGCUGAAGCAGUAGCGGCGGCUGCCAUUUUGCCAGUCCACUUAAGCAACAUUGCUAAUGCUAACCCCUCAUAAUCUGCUGUUUCCUCUACCACAUUAGAAGCAGAGCUACCCAUUAUACCUAAGCCACGUUGGUGCCGCCUGGAGGCAUUCAUUUUUUGCAACCUACUUUUAAUGAGGGUUCAACCUGUCCUCCAGCCCACCACCCAGCAGAGGCAGGGGAAGAGAAACGUUAUUAGAAUCUGGGAGAAGUGGACCUGCUCAGCAAUAGUUCUUUGGGGGCGAGCUGGAUCUUUUUUGGCAGCAGGGCUGUGCGGAGAGAUGGAGAAGUGUUGGGUUGCUUGUGUGAGGAGAGGUAGAGAAAGGCAGGAGUGGAGACAGGCCAGCAGCACAGAUUGGAUGAGAGUAGGCCCCACUCCAAUGGGGAUCACCUCUCAGUGCUCUGCCAUUUAAUCCUUACAAGAACAAUGGGGGUGCGAGGUGCUCCUUCCUCGGAGAGAACACUGCAGCAGCAUAACCUAUCCCUUUGCCCAACUUCCUGCUCUAUGCCCCGCCCCCCUCACAGUUCUAAAGCCCCUGGGUAGCCAGGACUCAGGAGGCAGAGGCAGUGUGCAGAAGCUACUGGAAAGUCUGGGCUUUCCUAUGUUGCGUUCUCGGAGCUUGAGAUGUCGUCAAUGAUGACAGGGAUUGAAGAGGGAGAAGUGGCUGGGUGACCUUGUCUCCAGGCUGCCAGGGGCUCUGGAGACCCUCUGAGCUCCAAAGUAGCAAAGCACACAAGGACACUAGGCCACCCUGACAGGAGGUCCCUAAAGAGUCCUAAAGGUGGCCCAGAAGCCAGAUCUUUGUAGCUGUAAAGAAGAGAAAAGCUGGACCGGUGGACAGCAAGUGCAUGGGGGCUGGUUUACGUGGGUUGGAAGAGCCGGCCGCUGGCACCUCUGUGUGGCUUCAGAUAGGAGUUGGCACAAACUCCACAGUAGUUACGCACCAGGACCAACAGACAGAAGAGCCCUCUUCUCCCCCAGAGCGUGUGUGAUAUUUAUUGGCCGCCACCCUGGGAUGUCCAGGGAGGGGCUGGCUGGGACGGCUCUAACGUUCCUGUUGGUGGCAGCGAGGAUGAAGGAAGGAGUCGUUCUUCACACCUCUACGCUGCCGCCUGUGUCCUGAGCAGGUCCCUUAAUCUCUUAGGAACCUCCGCUCAGGUAAAACUGAAUCCUCGGUCUCAGAAAAGAAAUUGAGGAUGAGCCAAUAUGAAUCCUUAAGACGGGAAAGGCUCUAAGGCAGAGAGAAUCCUGCUUGCAAGCACAAGUGUGGGCUUCUCAUGAGUCACGCCCUCAGCGUCACGGCCGUAGAUGGGUAGAACAUUUUGGCCUCUCUUUAGUUACAUUUUGAAAGAUUUCUAAGAAAAGUUCCCCCUCAAUAAUGAGAUUAUUAGAAAGGUUGAAGGGGGCACUGGGCUGGAUGGUUGGAGGGCAGGAAGUUUACUAGAAGAGUUGUUGACACCACGGGCAGACAGCCACACAGAGAGGCUCUGAGGAGGAGGCAAAGCCAUGAGGCAAAUGGCGGGAAGGGGGCCUUAUAGUUCUGAGGAAGACUCUCCGAUUCCCCAGCAGGCUACAGGGUAGGUGUGUGAGCACCCUACCCCUUUGAUGCUUCUGAGCCUGCAAACUCAUUUCCCCAGCAGAGAGACCUGGGGACCUGGAAGUCCAUUGGCUCUUAAAAGGGUGCCACCCUGUCAGUGCCUAUGGAGCUGGGGAGAGAGCGGCAGCUUGGCCUGGGCUCUGAGAAUUGUAGCACAGCUACAGAGGUCCCUUGGGUGGGGUUCCAGUCAUUGGGGAAGUUAGGGUUACUCAAGGGUUUGGGACACAUUCUCAACUUAUCAGACAUAGAGUUUCUAUGCAAAGUGUAGGUUUCUGGCUGGGAGGAAGAGAGGUGUGCAUGUCAGUCUUUGAGCAAGAUUAGCUGCUCUUUUGACGUGCUCUCUUGAAAUAUCUGUUGGGGCUGAGAAGACCUAGGGAGGGAAAAGGGCUCAUCCCAAAAUUUGAGGGCCUGAGUUCAAAUCCUGUACAAGCAAAGCUCUUGGGAGGUAGAGACAGGCAGCUCUCUGGGACCUGGUGGCCAGUCUAGCUGAAUUGGCGAACCCAACAUCAGCAUGAGACCCAUUUUGGAAGGGGUCUAGCAUAGUGGCACAUGCCUUUAAUCCUAGCACUCAAGCAGAAACGGCAGGGGGGAUCUGUGUGAGUUCAAGGCCAGCCCGGUCUACAAAUCGAGGUCCAGGAUAGCCAGGGUUGCAUAAAAAGACCUUGUCUCCUUGUCUCGAUGAAACAAAAACGGAGAGGAGAGGAGAGGAGAGGAGAGGGGAGGAGAGGAGAGGAGAGGAGAGGAGAGGAGAGAGAGAGAGAGAGAGAGAGAGAGAGAGAGAGAGAGAGAGAGAGA